rnacentral:misc_RNA from 1 species
UUUCCGUAGGUGAACCUGCGGAAGGAUCAUUAUUGUAUAACCGAGGUGCGAGGGCUGUCGCUGACCCGAAAGGUCGUGCACGCCCGAGUGCCCUCACACACAUCCAACUCACCCCUAUGUGCACCACCGCGUGGGUCCCCCUUUGGCUUGUUCGGAGGGGGGCUUACGUUUUCACACGAACUUUGUAUGCAGUGUAGAAUGUAUUUUUUGUUUUUGCGAUCACGCAAUCAAUACAACUUUCAACAACGGAUCUCUUGGCUCUC